rnacentral:misc_RNA from 1 species
GAUGAAGAACGUAGCGAAAUGCGAUACUUGGUGUGAAUUGCAGAAUCCCGAGAACCAUCGAGUCUUUGAACGCAAGUUGCGCCCGAAGCCAUUAGGCCGAGGGCACGCCUGCCUGGGCGUCACACGUCGUUGCCCCCCCAUCUACUCCUUCGGGAUUGCGGGGGGCGGAUGAUGGCCUCCCGUGCGCCUCGUCGCGCGGUUGGCAUAAAUGCCAAGUCCUCGGCGACGCACGCCACGACAAUCGGUGGUUGCGAAACCUCGGUUGCCCGUCGUGUGCGGUCGUCGCGCAUCGAGGGCUCGAAAAAAUUGCCGGGCUCCGGCUCGGCUUUCAACGCGACCCCAGGUCAGGCGGGGUUACCCGCUGAAUUUAAGCAUAUCAAUAAGCGGAGGA